rnacentral:tRNA from 1 species
GCCUGGCUGGCUCAGUAGGUAGAGCAUGCAACUCUUGAUUCCAGGGUUGUAAGUUCCAGCCCCAUGUUGGGCG